GGAGCUUGCACCGCAGGACUUAGAGGUACCCAGCGUCACGGCUUCAUUGCUCCAGACCACCACAAGGGGGAGUUAGAGCACUCAUUAUGCAUUUGGGUCCCAAGGUUUCUAUAUGAACAAUCAUAUCGAGUGGUUCCAAUGAUGAAUUUUGACGCGAGCCACCCUUGCCUUCAUGGCGUGCUUCAACAAAGAUGGCUGACAAAGCAUUAUGGUGGAGCCAGAUGCAAACCCAUCAUAGACAACAACACAGAUGCCAUCUAUGGGAGCAGAAAGACCAUCUGUGUGAUCAGCCGCUGCUACCGGAGAGUGAGUGGUGCUCCAGAGAGAUCCAGGUGGCCAGUAAGAAGCUGACUGCUCUGGCCAAAACUCUGGCUAGUCAUACUCCCAGAAGAUGAUGGCAUUUCAUUGGCCAAGGGAGGAUAUGGAUGACCAUGAAUGAGGUAAUAAUGUAUUUAUAUGACAUGUGACACAUCAUUUCUCUUGUCUCGCCAGAUAGCGGCGAUAAUUGUUUCUCCUGCGGUUGGAAACCUAGGAAGCACUUUUCCCUGGGAGGAAAUGGAAACCAGUGGCUAUAACAUGUCAGCGGUGGUGUUUGGAGGAAUAAUAUACAUUAGGGUUAUGAGGGUUUAUAGCCACACACACGUCUGGUUUAUCCUGAGAGUCAAACAGAAGAGGGUUCAUGGCAGACCACCCCGAUAGCAUAGCAAACUGUGGCACAAAAAAGUGUGUGUGUGCAGUCUGCAUGUGCUGUAUUCCUUUGUUCAUAGUGCAAAGACAAGCUAGGCAUUUAAUCAAAGACACACACGCCAACCCGAAAAUGGACAAGUUUAAUAACCAAGAAGACACACAGAAAGCCACUUGACAAAAAGGGAGGGAGUACAAUGCAAAUUAUAAUGUGAGAUCUGGAAAAUAUGCCAUUUUUUUUCCCACCAAUGGUGUUUCCACCAAAUGGACUUGUUGCAGAUAAAAAUCUGUGCGUGAUGAUGCAAUGCACACAAUGUACUUAAUUUUUUUUUUUUAAUUACGUUUUCAUGAACCUAAUA
ensembl:lncRNA